rnacentral:rRNA from 1 species
GAUGAACGCUGGCGGCGUGCCUAAUACAUGCAAGUCGAGCGAACAGAUAAGGAGCUUGCUCCUUUGACGUUAGCGGCGGACGGGUGAGUAACACGUGGGUAACCUACCUAUAAGACUGGAAUAACUCCGGGAAACCGGGGCUAAUGCCGGAUAACAUUUAGAACCGCAUGGUUCUAAAGUGAAAGAUGGUUUUGCUAUCACUUAUAGAUGGACCCGCGCCGUAUUAGCUAGUUGGUAAGGUAACGGCUUACCAAGGCAACGAUACGUAGCCGACCUGAGAGGGUGAUCGGCCACACUGGAACUGAGACACGGUCCAGACUCCUACGGGAGGCAGCAGGAGGGAAUCUUCCGCAAUGGGCGAAAGCCUGACGGAGCAACGCCGCGUGAGUGAUGAAGGUCUUCGGAUCGUAAAACUCUGUUAUUAGGGAAGAACAAAUGUGUAAGUAACUGUGCACGUCUUGACGGUACCUAAUCAGAAAGCCACGGCUAACUACGU